UAUCCUCUUUUCACCUCUUUUCUUUUUUUCCCUAUUUGUCUUCCAAUCAAUGUAAAACUGAGAUGUGUAAAUUGCAAAAUAAUUAAAAAAUAUCCUUACAUACUUAAGUCUCAUGACCCACUUAAAUCUGAGACACAGGGUUUAUCAUAGACCUUUUCUGGUUUUCCCUUUGUCCCCUCUUCCUCAUCCUCUCUCUCUUUCUAUCUUAGGAACAACCAUGGCAGGCGCAGGCACCAGGUACACUUCAUUCUCCUUGUCCUUUUUAUUUCAAUUUUAGAAAGCCAAUUACCACCAACAGAUAAUAUCCUUGCAGUUACCAUUGCUUCUCUCCAUUUUCUACUUUUGUUGUUGUUAUUCACCAACAGACCAAUCAGAAAAAAUCAUAUUAGCUGGUUCCGUACAAGAUCAGUGGAGGCUGAAUGACUCUCACAAAUUUAGACUCAUCUUGUACAAAUACUUAGUCAUUUGAACAUAUACAGUGGCCAAACUGGUAUGUUCGAGCAUCAUAACAAGUAUUCUCACCCUUUUUACGAAAAAAUGUAGCAUGCAUGGGCCUCACAAAUUUAGACUCAUCUUGUACAAAUACUGUCAUUUGAACAUAUACAGUCGCCAAACUGCUAUGUUCGAGAAUCAUAACAAGUAUUCUCACCCUUUUUACAAAAAAAUGUAGCAUGCAUGGGCCAUUGUAGAAGGUAUGUCCUAAAGGAUACAUGUUUAGUGCAAGGAUUGGCCUCAAUAAGACAAAAUGGGAACUAGGGACCUAUUGCCACAUCUUAUCCUCAUGGUCGGCCUAACCAACUUUCAGCUAAAUUAAGCAGCAUUGAUCAAUCUUUAAAGGUGAAUCUUCUAGAAAGAAUGUGAUCACCCCUUCAGAUUUCAACUAAGCACCAGCACCAACAACUUGACGGCGCAAGGAUUGGCCUAGAUAACACAAAAUGGGAACAAUGAUCUUAUUGCCACAGCUCAUCCUCAUGGUCUGCCUAACCAACUUUCAGCUAAAUUAAGCAGUAUUGAUCAAAGUUGAAUCUUCUAGAAAGAAUGUGAUCACCCAAUGAGAGUUCAACUAAGCACCAGCACCAACAACAUGAUGGAUCCACCAAUUUUUACAAUGAAGAUUAUACUUCUGAUGUCAUUCGCUAUUAUAAUACCUGUUGUAUUUAUAC
rnacentral:lncRNA from 1 species